UAAGGAGUCAUCCAUUAAGUUGACAAGUUAUAUAUAUUAGUAGAUAUCUGCUUUUCAAUACAUAAUCUGUAGACAAGAUUUUCUAAUUGGAAGUGUUCUAGUUUCCUUACACAGGUAAACAGUCAAUGUGGAGAUCACAAGCACCAGAACACACUGACAGGAAUGUAAUCUUGGGACUCGUAUCAUCUUCUUGAGCUUUAUUAACUGUUUUAAAAGUUUAUGUGUCGUGCACAGAUACUAUGUGUUCAAAGUUGCUGUUGUGUUAAGUUUCUGAUCAGCUUGGCCUGGACAUCAGGACGAGUGUGGAAGUGUGGCUUGCCAUCUUCAGACAGUCUUCCUUCAAUACAUGUUCGCAAGGACAUGAGGGGACUUAUAUUCAGGCCGAUGUUGUUCAAACUGAUGCAAUUUUCUGUUUUUCGUUUCUUAAUAUUCCCUUUUCGAACACUGCACGGCAAGUUCACCUGAAUCACACAUGCACAGAAACUUUCACUUCUAUUGACUUUUGCUAGAACAUACUUUUGCAUUUUUCGAUUCCAAAAAAAAGAAAUAAGAAUAUGGUCUAACUCUGUUGUUUAAAAAAAACAGUGUAAUUGGCUCCAUUAGCAAAGAAGCAGAGCCUGGCUCGAACAAAUCCAGUGAAGUAAUGAACCAAACUAAUGCCCAAAUGGAGUAAACCAUCAAUUUUGAGCCUGACUUCAUCGGGUUCAGGACGAGGAUUUUAAGCCCCUGAGACAAAUACUGUGAUUUGUCCAAAGGGUAAUACAACAAAUUUGGGCAGGAAGCAAUGGAGAGGAUGGAAGACGUAAACAAAGCUUCCACCACCUUGGGAAUGUGAGAGUGGGACUCAUUAGAGGCACAAAAUGUUGGGACUGCAAAAGAUCCGUCAAUGCCGUCAAUGAUCAACCAUUUAUCUUGUUUUACAACUCCUAUUUAAGUCACUUUGCAAGGCAGCUUCCAUAUAUUAUUAAGGAGAAGACAUAAAAAGCCUCCAUGCGAGAAAUCAAACAGUGUAUAUGAUGCAAAUAGAAAAAAAAACAAUUGCAUUUAAAUUGUCAAGCACAAUCCUCCAGGGCUUCAGUUCUCACCCAGUAAUGUUGGAUUUGGAUGGGAAAUGGCAUUCUCUCAAACGUCAGCAUGACAGCUGAAAAGUGUCUCAGCAUACAGAUUCAAAUUACACAACUGAUCAAAAUGACAUAUUACCUAUGUGGAAAAUAUAAACUUUCCCCUCCACUUCCUGAUAUGGAGGACAGGUUAUAAACAUGUAAUGUGGACACGAUACGGCAUGUUUUCUACAAACACCAAUGACGUGUAGAAAUGUUAACGUAUUAAUAGUUUGCUGAAAUAUUACUUGACAGUAUUUCAUCACAGUACCUGAAAUACUCUAGCAUGCUUACUUACGCCUGAGACUGAAAGAAGCAACUCUUCACAGAUGUAGCAAACUUUGCACAUUCAAACAUGAUCUGUUGUGCUCAGAGUGUCACAAGUUUAUGUCUUCCAUUUCAUGUUUGUGCGUGAUUAAAUCUUCCAUAUCAUCUGGCAGGCUUUAAUGCAAAUUGCGUUUGUUCUACCAGUGCGAUGAGGGAGAAACCUCAUCCGACAAGCAGAGACCUCCCCACUGCUGGUGGAGACCUCAUUAUCACCUGGAAACCUCACCACUGCAGGUAUAAAUCUCAUUACCACCAGUUCAAAUGUUGCCAGAAAUCUCAUCAUGUAGGAAGAAACCUCAUUACCACAAACACAAACAUGAUCACUGUGGGUAGAAAUCUGAUACAGCCUCCCCCACCCCAUGAAUAUGCUUGCUAUGACUGCCUGGCCAUCCUGUGGUUGUUUUCAUUGUCUUGUGCUGUUCUUAGGAUACAAGUUAGAAGUGGAAAUAGAUUAUUACAAAGGAUAUAUUUGAAUAAAAAUUGUCUCAAACUACAUCAACCAAUCAUAAUAUAUUGAAAUAUUCAAUACUCAAAUUGACACGGCACCUUUGAAACUUGUUACAAGAAAACCUUUUUGUGCCAAGUUCAGAGCCAGUGUGGGCUGCACGAUGCAACAUGUCCUCAUAGCAAAACCACUGAUCUUGACUCUAUUUGUUUUUUUUUUAUUACUUAUAAUGCACAUAUAAAUUGUUGUUUGCUAAAUUUGUGUAUACGUUUUUUGAAAUUUACAAAGUUAUAUGUAACUAUUUACAUUUAAAUGUAGGCAAUGCCUGAGGCUCCACGUUCAGCGCUCUCCUCAUUGUUUUGACUCAUUAAACAAAAAAAAACAAAAAAAACACGACUCCACUACACACUAAACACACUACAUCAAACACUACAUAACACACUGACUAUACACUCCAAUCAUGCUAAAUGUUACAAAUCUGUCACAUCUCAAAACUCAUUAUCUCUGUCGCUGUCUCUAUAGGUCUACAUUGUUAGCGAAAAAGCAUGGCAGACAUUAUACAUCCUCAGUCUGGUUUAACUUGACCUAUCAACACAAUUUGAAAACUGAUAGAUAGUUUGAAGGCCGCACCAAUACUUAAGUCAGAACAGAGACUCAGUGAGGCUCCGUCUCGCUGCUACGUCAUCUUGAAUUGGUCACAUGAUUUUGAUGCACCAGCGCGUCAAUCGACCUCAGAGCGGUAAGCUUCAAAUUAUGAUGAUCUACUUCCUCUAUGGUGCCUGUUUAGUAUGUGAUCCACAUUCAAGUUUGCUAGCUUAGUAUAUAUUACACAACGUCCAGUAAGACUUAUAUAUUAUCACCUUUGUACGGUUAAUAAGGUUUCCAAAUGUUGACAAUUGGGUCACCCCCUGAGUCAGACCUUUAUAAAACUGUAUACUGCAGCACUAGAGAGGUGCCACAGGGGUCACUACAGCAAACUUAGAGGUUUGGUAGCUGCUGUUUGGCGUGUAUGGGGUGAAAACAGACUGGCGGCCUGUAUGCAUGUGUGUGCACAUACAAACAACAUUUUUACUAAGAUUCGUGAGUGUGACUGGCCUAAAAAUAGACAGGACUCCGAAUCUGUAGAUGAGAUGACAUUGCAGUUGCGCUUGAGAUGCAAGUGAGCUGUGCCGCUAAGUGUGGCUGCUCUAUCCUGCACCAAAAUGAAAAACGAGGGUCAUACUAAGCCGCCUGCACAGAUGACCUAUAGGGCCAUUGUCCUGAUGAGGAUGGGCUCGUACAGUGACAACUUCUAUUUCUGUCGCCUAUACACCACCUCGGAGUCUAGCUGCCGCCUCUGCAUAUAUUGCAGGCGACAAACGAGAUUCAACCAUGAAACAGACAUAAUGCUGACAGCAUGAACAUUAUAAUACCAGAGCAUGCCAGGACAUGAUGGGACUGUUCAUCACAGCUGCAACAUAUGCAUAUGUAGUCAACAUUUUAAUACGGGGAGUAGAUGAGGUCUCACUGAUACCCCACAGUCUAAUCUGGCUGUCACUUGUGCCCCAUUCACACAAAGCUGGUAUGUUAACACACACACACUCAUGCAAACACAUGCAGAGUCAUUGCUUUUUCAAGUGCUGUUUAAGUUUCGUCCUCGGGGGAAUUCGCCACAAAACUCACCUUAUAUCUCUCAAUCUAUAGCAUGGGACACACACACAUACAGACACACAUACUCUCAGACCAACAAUCCAUCAACAUGAUCAAGCAGGGAGCGAAUAGGAGCUGGCCGGUCAUACAUCAACCUCUCUGAGCUUGUUAAAGACAAACAGAAACACACACACACGCACACACAGCGGUGUGGACACAGUGCAACAUGAUGUCCUCCCUUUGAAAUGAUGAGCAGGGGCAGCAAAGACAUCAGUUUACACAGACAGGCAGACCAGCAGGCAGAUUAGAUAGUCAGAUAUAUGAAUGGAUGGUCCGUCAUUGGCAUCCAGAUCCCACAGCGUACAGGAAGGUGUGUGAUGUCGCUGUGGCAGAGGAGCUCACUCUAGUUUAGAUUUUUAAAGACAGUUAUGAUGAACAAAUCCCAGAUAAUUGGUUGCCUAACUAUCCCUAACCAACCACAUCUGUUGUGCUCUCUCGCGCAGACUAAGAAACGCCAAGAGGCACAAUGAAAUGGCAUGAUUCAAAAACAUGUGUCAGCAUUGCAGCGCACUUUUUCCAAAUCGAGCGUAGCUGAGACUGAACUUGAGUCCAUAUGGUGAGAUUAUACUCCUGCCAAACUGCGAGAAAACCCAGAAAUCCUUAUAAAAUGUGUGUCUCCAUCAAAUCCACAUCUUGUUAUUUAUGUUCAACACCAAUGUCCAGCACCAAUGCCAGAGCUAGAGUGUCCUUUACACAGUAAGGUGAGAAGUGCAAGCAAAUCAAGUAGAAAGUGAGAAUGCAACAUCUAUUGUGGCUGGACAACAAAUAAUGUUGCCAUUGGUUUGUUGAUCCAAAAAUGUAAUUGGCUUUCCAUCCUAAAUGUUUCCAAUGAAGUCCAAACCAAGAGAAAUCCAGAAUUUCUACUUAAUGCAAUGCUGAUUAGCUGGUACAUCGACGAAGAGAGAGUGAGGAAGUCGGCCAAACAGGACUAAACAAAACGUGAAUAAUUCUGCCCGAGUCAUGUAGCUUGGAUAGAUUUUCAUUCAUGAAACUAUGGACAGCAACUCCCAUGAUGCCACUACGAUGGUCUUAGAUGUCUGAUUGCAGGCCUCCUUGUGGCAGAAAUGACAUAUUGUGCUGUGACGGUGUGGUUAUUUUUUCACCGAUUUGUUGUGAUGGACCACUUCAUCACUUCCUUGUCUGACUGUUCCAGAGUUUUGUUUCUUAAAGCAAUGAGCUCGGAGAACAAAGCGACGGGAAUCAGAACUCAGCUUGGCCGUGUUCUACAGCUUGAUUAAGAGCACAGGGAUCUAAGCAACCUGGAACUAAAGUGUACAAACAGCUUGAGAGAGAUAAAGAAAAGCACAUGGAUAUGACGAGGCAAAAAGUCGCAGUUGGUUACCACACAGAUGGGAUGAGCGGGGGGAUUUUAACAACUCGCAUCAAAACGAGUCAAGGUUGGAUAAAGACACUUGUUGAAGCAGAGAGAGAGAGAGACACGGACGAGGAGGGAGAGAUGGAGGAUGAGAUGCUGCCUGCCGCAUGCUGUCAUCUCGGCAAUAUCAGAAGGUGGAGAGGAUAUUGAUGGAGUUUCAGGCGAGAAGGUUGCCAAGCCAGUGACCCCAGUUCAAGACUGUUUCAACAUGUAUAAGGAAAUGUUGGGCCAGUUUCCAGCCAGUGUUUGAGGCAACAAAAAAGACGUCUGAAGUCCAAGGUAUUUUAAUCCAAAACAUAAAAAACAAACCUUACCUUACCCUGAACAGACCACUAGCUAACCCUUGUCACAACAUAACAUAGAAACUUCAACUUAAAGAAAAGUAAGAUACAACAUAAAGAAAUCAGACAGUCUCAGCAUACGUAUCCUUGCAGAAAUUUACAUUCCCAGCAUUUACUCUGAUGACUUGGUUCGGCAUGUCUCCUCUGUAGGAUUCCUGCUAAAAAGCUUUGAGCAUUAAGGUGAAGUAAUCUCUGCACAUAAGCCAACUUUACGUCCAAACCACUAUAUAUAAUAAUAUGUAAUACAAUAUAAUAAUACACACUAUAAUAUCCUUCCUGUGUUUUUCUAGUUACAAUAUAAUUAUACACCUGAAAACUGAGGCUGGAUCUAAAAAGAGUCCUCAUGUAAACACAUGCUGUAGGUCCAAUCUGCUGCACCUCUUAUCAUAACCUUGUGUUCCAGAUCUAAGUUAUUAGCAUUGUUAUGCAAUGCUUGAAACACAUUUUCCACAUAGUAGAAAUAGCUGUACUUAGUCAACUGCUUUAACAGUACAAUAGCACAACACACUAUUCUACAGUUAUACAGCCCGGAGCAAUUAUUCUUUGAGGCAGAAACCUCUUUUUUUCCCCAUUUUUACACACUUUUAUUUCUAGUUAUCCACUCUUUAUUUUAUAUUGUUCUUACAGUUUCUCCAUGUUGUGACAUUUCUCUUCUAGAGGGAGCAAGUGUCACGUAACCCAAAUUCCCCCCUCAGGGAUCAACAUAACAUUUCUGAUUCUGAUAAUAGAAAGCAGAAUCCAUCCAGCUGGUGGGCAUGUUUGAAGUAAUUGAGCUCAUAUUUAUUUAUGUGUAUAAUUUUUCAAUUUGGUUGAUCAGAAUAAACAAUGCACCCCCCAUCUGCGGUGAGUACAUCUGUACAGCAACAGCAAGAAAUGACCUCAUGUUGCAAUGACUUAUGGGUACUCUCCGAGACAGACGUUGCACAAAUAGGUAGAGAAAGAAAAGCAAAGUGCAAUCAGGAUAAAACUAUUCAUGUGUCCUUGUAGAAACAUGAUGAAAUGCUAGCAACAUAUACUGUACAUGCACAAUUGUUCAUCAUGCGGAGCAGAUAUUGUUUUUGUGCAACACUCUUAAUUAUUUGGGCUUUUUUAAAAAAAUGUAUUUUUGGAGUCAAGAAAAUGUGAAAUUCCACCAAAGAGAUCUUGCUCAGUGGUGGAUCUGAUCGUGUAAAAGAUUACAUGAUGCUGAGUUGAGAAAAUAAAAAAAAUAAA